GACGAACGCUGGCGGCGUGCUUAACACAUGCAAGUCGAACGGUGAAGCGCCUUCCUUUUUGGUGGGUGUGGAUGAGUGGCGAACGGGUGAGUAACACGUGCGUAACCUGCCCCCUUCUUCUGGAUAACCGCAUGAAAGUGUGGCUAAUACGGGAUAUUCUGGGUCUGUCGCAUGAUGGGUCUGGGAAAGAUAUUGUUUCGGUGGGGGAUGGGCUCGCGGCCUAUCAGCUUGUUGGUGGGGUGAGGGCCUACCAAGGCGGUGACGGGUAGCCGGCCUGAGAGGGUGGACGGUCACACUGGGACUGAGACACGGCCCAGACUCCUACGGGAGGCAGCAGUGGGGAAUAGUGCACAAUGGGCGCAAGCCUGAUGCAGCGACGCCGCGGGAGGGAUGGAGGCCUUCGGGUUGUGAACCUCUUUCGCCAGUGAAGCAGGCCUGCCUCGUUUGUGGGUGGGUUGACGGUAGCUGGAUAAGAAGCGCCGGCUAACUACGUG
rnacentral:rRNA from 1 species